UAAAGAGAAUGUUGAUGAUCC
rnacentral:siRNA from 1 species